ACUCAGCAGCGGCAUCGGCAGCAGCAGCAGCAGCAGCGGCAGCAGCAGCAGCAGCAGCGCUCCUCCACCGCUCCGGUCUCGGCCAGCUCCGCGACGGCGACGGUGAGAUCCCUGCAGCCUCAAGCGGAAAUCCUACACAGAUGAGAAGAUAGACAUUUACGGACAAGCAGCGGUACAGUUCAAGACGCUGAAAAGCCUGAAGCAGGUGAAUCACCUCAAGAGGCAGUUCCUGAUGGUGAAGCAGAUGAGUCGGCCCCAAAGAGACUGCUUCGAUCCAUGACAAGUCAUAGUCAACAAACAGCAACUGUCGAGCACACUGACCGCAGGCAUGUCCUACCAGCGCAUUGCAUCAUUUGUAAAGGUUCAAAGUACACAAAAUAAAUAAA